rnacentral:rRNA from 1 species
UACGAAGGGGGCUAGCGUUGCUCGGAAUCACUGGGCGUAAAGCGCACGUAGGCGGCUUUCUAAGUCAGGGGUGAAAUCCUGGAGCUCAACUCCAGAACUGCCUUUGAUACUGGGAAGCUCGAGUCCGGGAGAGGUGAGUGGAACUCCGAGUGUAGAGGUGAAAUUCGUAGAUAUUCGGAAGAACACCAGUGGCGAAGGCGGCUCACUGGCCCGGUACUGACGCUGAGGCGCGAAAGCGUGGGGAGCAAACAGG